rnacentral:rRNA from 1 species
AACGAACGCUGGCGGCAGGCCUAACACAUGCAAGUCGAGCGAAGCCUUCGGGCUUAGCGGCGGACGGGUGAGUAACGCCUAGGAAUCUGCCUGGUAGUGGGGGACAACGUUCGGAAACGGACGCUAAUACCGCAUACGUCCUACGGGAGAAAGUGGGGGAUCUUCGGACCUCACGCUAUCAGAUGAGCCUAGGUCGGAUUAGCUAGUUGGUAGGGUAAAGGCCUACCAAGGCGACGAUCCGUAACUGGUCUGAGAGGAUGAUCAGUCACACUGGAACUGGGACACGGUCCAGACUCCUACGGGAGGCAGCAGUGGGGAAUAUUGGACAAUGGGCGCAAGCCUGAUCCAGCCAUGCCGCGUGUGUGAAGAAGGUCUUCGGAUUGUAAAGCACUUUAAGUUGGGAGGAAGUUCAGUAAGUUAAUACCUUGUUGAAUUGGCGUUACCGACAGAAUAAGCACCGGCUAACUCUGUGCCAGCAGCCGCCGUAACAC